CAUAAAUAUGAGAACAUGUUCUCCUGGGAUUUACAUUAAAGUCAUAAACACUAACUUAUGAAGCUAAGAUAUUACAGCUCCAUUAUAUCAUCAUCUCAUUAAACCAGACUGCAUCAUCCACACUGUUUCAUCAACUACAUCAUUAGAAACUAAUAUUUUGUGAUCGUGUUGUUUUAACAUUUGUAGGAAAUGCCUCAUGUCUUCCGAAAGCCUAAACACUGUCAUGCAAAUCAAACCCCUUCAUAAAUGAUUAGAGGUGUUCUCAGGAGGAGUGAGGAUCUGGGUUCAGGUUCAGAUCAAACCAUGUUCUCUACACUUCUACUCUUGCUGUUAACAGCUACAUCUGGUAUUAAAUGUAUUGAACUGGUUCAGCCUGCAGUCAUACUGGUUAAGCCUGGAGAAUCAUUUUCAGUCCCCUGUAAGAUCACUGGAUACUCAGCCACUAGUCAAUGUACUAACUGGAUACGACAAUCAGGACAAAAACUGGAAUUGAUCGGCUGGUACUGCAGCUCCAGUGAUACUGGCAGCAGCGAUUCACUAAAGAACAAGAUCCGUUUCUCAGCUGAUGCCUCCACCAACACUGUGACUUUACACGGGCAAAACUUUCAGACUGAGGACACAGCUGUGUAUUACUGCGCUCGUAACUCACAGUGAGACAGAUCAACAAAGACGCUGUACAAAAACAUCCAGUACAGAAGUCUGUUAGAGGCAGAAACUGUGUCUUACUUCAAUGUUUCACCUUCUGAGUUUCUCAGAAGAGUGAGAAGAUGAUAUCAGCUAACUUUCUCUCAGUUGAUUGGAUGAGAUUGUAGUGUGAAAUUUUGGAACUACAAUUAGAUGUUAAAUGUAUAACUUUUAAAUCUACUAAAGAAACCCUGACAUCACAUCAUCACAUUAUAUUUGAGUUAUGAGUAAGAUUGAUCAGGCCAUAUUACUUUUCUGAAGUCCACUAAAUAAUUGUUCCUUGUCAUAGGUUAUAUUUUGAUUCAUAUUAAAAUUGUUAAACAGAAUUUAUUCUUUUAAAGUGUCAUAUAAAUAAAAUUAUUAACAUUUAUUUUUAUUUAGAACUUUGCCUUGCUGUGGCUCUUGAGGUUUUAUGAAGCUUGAAUGUCUUUUUAUUGGACUUUUU